UCUGCCAGCUGGGCUGGGCCCCAGGGGGCUUCCGCAUGACAACGCCAGCAGCAAGCCCUGAUGUGCUGGGUUCAGUGGGGAGGAGUAUGGAAGGAAAUGACAAGUGUCCCCAGAGCAAGGCCAGGGCAGGGACGCGAAGGGGACAUCAUCAAAGCUUUGUCUUUGUCCCAGGAGACUGACAGCAAGGCUAAGGCACAGCAUCCAGAGAGACUCCACAUUGGGCAGCCUCAGUGGACAGCAGUGAGGCGCCAGCCCCUUUCAAAGCUUGAAAUGGAGCUGCAGACACACACAGGAUGCACCAGAAGACAGAC